rnacentral:rRNA from 1 species
UACGUAGGGUGCGAGCGUUAAUCGGAAUUACUGGGCGUAAAGGGUGCGCAGGCGGCUGAGCAAGUCGAGUGUGAAAGCCCCGAGCUUAACUUGGGAAUUGCGCUCGAAACUACUUGGCUCGAGUGUGGCAGAGGAAGGUGGAAUUCCACGUGUAGCGGUGAAAUGCGUAGAGAUGUGGAGGAACACCGAUGGCGAAGGCAGCCUUCUGGGCCAACACUGACGCUCAUGCACGAAAGCGUGGGGAGCAAACGGG